GUAAAGAGAAGAUUUGUUCGAACUUCAUGGGCUGAAAGGCUUCAUGAUUUGUCGCAAGGGACGCUCAAUCCCUUGCAUAUGAUGGGUUUGCCUAACCGCGCCCUCGAACCGAUCUCGAGAAGCUGGUCUUUUUGUGCCAAUGACAUCGGAUCAAAUCCCGCACAGGAUUUGAUCCAGGCGACAAUCCUUCGGAUUGCGCGGACGCUAAACUCGCAAGGGUCUGGCUGAAGCGACAAUCCCUUCGGGAUUGCGCGGAUGGGCAUUGGCAAUGAGAACGAUCAAGUGUCUUAAGGGCAAUUGGUGGAUGCCUUGGCAUGCACAGGCGAUGAAGGACGUGAUACGCUGCGAUAAGCUACGGGGAGGUGCGAAUACCCUUUGAUCCGUAGAUUUCCGAAUGGGGAAACCCACCUAAGGUACUUGGAAAAUCAGAGCAGCAGGGUGACUUGCUGCUGUGGUUUCCAAGUAUCGAUAAUAGGUAACUUACCCUGAAUACAUAGGGGUAAAGUGGCGAACGCGGGGAACUGAAACAUCUAAGUACCCGUAGGAAAGGACAUCAACCGAGACUCCGGAAGUAGUGGCGAGCGAACCCGGACCAGGCCAGUGGCGAUUGAGAGACAAGCGGAACCUUCUGGAAAGUAGGGCCAUAGUGGGUGACAGCCCCGUACGCGUAAUGCAAUCAAUCGUCCUCGAGUAAGGCGGGACACGUGAAAUCCUGUCUGAAAUUGGGGGGACCACCCUCCAAGCCUAAGUACUCGUGCAUGACCGAUAGCGAACUAGUACCGUGAGGGAAAGGUGAAAAGCACCCCGACAAGGGGAGUGAAAGAGUACCUGAAACCGAUUGCCUACAAACAGUGGGAGCCCGCAAGGGUGACCACGUACCUUUUGUAUAAUGGGUCAGCGACUUAGUGUGACGAGCAAGCUUAAACCGCUAGGUGUAGGCGCAGCGAAAGCGAGUCUGAACAGGGCGUUCAGUUCGUCGCAUUAGACCCGAAACCGAGUGAUCUAGCCAUGAGCAGGUUGAAGGUAAGGUAACACUUACUGGAGGACCGAACCCAUAACUGUUGCAAUAGUUCGGGAUGACUUGUGGCUAGGGGUGAAAGGCCAAUCAAACUCGGAAAUAGCUGGUUCUCCGCGAAAUCUAUUUAGGUAGAGCGUCGACCGAAUACCCCAGGGGGUAGAGCACUGGAUGGGCUAGGGGUCCUCACCGGAUUACCAAACCUAACCAAACUCCGAAUACCUGGGAGUACUAGUCGGCAGACACACGGCGGGUGCUAACGUCCGUCGUGAAAAGGGAAACAACCCUGACCUACAGCUAAGGUCCCCAAGUUAUGGCUAAGUGGGAAAGGAUGUGAGGAUCCCAAAACAACCAGGAUGUUGGCUUAGAAGCAGCCAUCAUUUAAAGAAAGCGUAACAGCUCACUGGUCUAAAUAAGGGUCUUUGCGCCGAAAAUGUAACGGGGCUAAAGCCAUACACCGAAGCUUAGGGUUCGUGAGCAAUCACGAGCGGUAGCGGAGCGUUCUGUAAGCUGAUGAAGCCAUACCCGUGAGGGGUGGUGGAGGUAUCAGAAGUGCGAAUGCUGACAUGAGUAACGUAAGGGGAGUGAGAGACUCCCCCGCCGAAAGACCAAGGGUUCCUGCUUAAAGCUAAUCUGAGCAGGGUUAGCCGGCCCCUAAGACGAGGCGGAAACGCGUAGUCGAUGGGAACCACGUUAAUAUUCGUGGGCUUGGAGGUAGUGACGGAUCAUUGAGGUAGUCCAAUCUUAUCGGAUUGAACGGGCUGCUGCGUGGUUCCAGGAAAUAGCUCCUCCUUAUAAACCGUACCCGAAACCGACACUGGUGGUCUGGUAGAGUAUACCAAGGCGCUUGAGAGAACUAUGCUGAAGGAACUCGGCAAAUUGCACGCGUAACUUCGGAAGAAGCGUGACCCUUUUCCACGCAAGUGGAGGAGGGUGGCACAGACCAGGGGGUAGCGACUGUUUAUCAAAAACACAGGGCUCUGCGAAGUCGCAAGACGACGUAUAGGGUCUGACGCCUGCCCGGUGCUGGAAGGUUAAGAGGAGGGGUGCAAGCUCUGAAUCGAAGCCCCAGUAAACGGCGGCCGUAACUAUAACGGUCCUAAGGUAGCGAAACGGCCCGCCUGGCUCAAACCAGCGGGCCGUUUUGCGUUUGGAGCCAACGUCGCCAACGGCUGCCUCCCGCCCAGCGGCCCGCAAGCAGACAAAACCGAAGCCGCACGACAGAUAAGCCAAAUCCCUCUCCCCAAAACCAAACCAAAAUCGGCCCGCCUGGCUCGAACCAGCGGGCCGUUUUGCAUUCGAGCCCAAUGGAAGAACGCCCGGCAACGACCGAAGCGAACAGCGAAAGCCGAAUCGGAGCGGCGACCGCAACCAAAUGCGAAGUGAAUUUAGCAGGCGGGGGCUACUGUCUCGGCCAGCCUCAGUGCUCGUCGGCUCGCUUUUAUGACGGAGAGUGGAUCGUCGGAGUUGUCGAUCGCGGGCCUGGUUGCGUAUUCCGACGAAGCCGGCCAUCGAUUCCGAUUUGAAGGAUGAGAGCCAAAUGAAUUUGGUCGGCGGGCCUCUUUUCUCAGCCGACUUCGAUGCUCGUCGUCCCGCCUGCAUGACGAGAACUGGUCUUCAUACCGGAAUGGUGGCCGGUGUUUGAUCGGAAUGGCGGCCGGCUUCACGUCGGAAUCCGCACCUGGUUCCUCGAUCGCGCCGGCGUCAACGGAUCUGGGGCGAUAUCUCGGUUGUGCAGAAUCGGCGAAUCAAGCCCUGCGGAAUAAUCCGAAUCAAAGGCAGAGUACCGCCG
rnacentral:rRNA from 1 species